rnacentral:lncRNA from 1 species
UUAAUUUUUUUUAUUAUGAAUAACAAAUUCAAUUUCAUUUUAAUAUAACUUUCACUACUUACAUUUAAAUUUCUAUCAUGAUUUUAUAUAAGGGUUAAUUGGUAAUCAUAGAUUUUUAUCAUUUAAAAUAUUUUUUAUCUAUCACACCUAUCACAUUAUUCAUAAACUUUUCUCUCAACUCUUUUCAUUCAUCUUUUCAAAUUUCUUAAUCCAAACAACACUAUAAUCCCCUCUCAUUUUUCUAAAAUCCAUCACUCACUCUUCCU